rnacentral:tRNA from 1 species
AGUAAAGUGCCUGAAUAAAGGAUUAUUGUGAUAGGAUAAAUUAUGUAACUGCUUUAUAGUUACCUUUACUA